GCCGGGUGUGGUGGCUCACGCCUGUAAUCCCAACACUUUGGGAGGCCGAGGUGGGUGGAUCACCUGAGGUCAGGAGUUCAAGACCAGCCUGGCCAACAUGGAGAAACCCCAUCUCUG
rnacentral:SRP_RNA from 1 species